rnacentral:misc_RNA from 1 species
UCUCCGUAGGUGAACCUGCGGAGGGAUCAUUACAGAGUUCAUGCCCUACCGGGUAGAUCUCCCACCCUAUGUUAUUAUUACUUUGUUGCUUUGGCGGGCCGUUAGGCUCCGGCCCGACUACCGGCCCCGGCUGGUAAGCGCCCGCCAGAGGACCCAAAACCCUGAAUAUUAGUGUCGUCUGAGUACUAUAUAAUAGUAAAAACUUUCAACAACGGAUCUCUUGGUUCUG